rnacentral:tRNA from 4 species
GGGGCGGUAGCUCAGCCGGUUAGAGCAGCGGACUCAUAAUCCGUCGGUCCUGGGUUCAAGCCCCAGCCGCCCUA